ensembl:misc_RNA Y_RNA Y RNA
UGCUGGUCUGAGUGCAUUGAUGUUUACAAUUAAUUGAUCACAACCGGUUACAGAUUUCUUUGUACCUUCUCCACUCCCACUGCUUCACUGACCAGUCUUAA